UAUGCGCGUGCUCAAGUGAAAAUGGUUUUUUUCCUACAAGAAGAGAAGACUCAUUUGUCCCCCUCGUUUUCGAGAAAAUUCAACGACCGCGUCUCUUGAAACCCUAAAAUCCGAUAGUUAGGAGACAAAAGUACGUUCUAGAAUUGCGAUAGAACUCUCAAGACCCCCUCGCUUCGUUAGCGGAUGAUUGUAUUCUCUACCCCCUCUUUCUCUCUCUCAUUGUCGAGGUAAUUAUGACUCAAUAUUAAUCCUCCCCUCUUUUUACUCUCUCUCUCUAGGUUGCUUAUUGUCCAAAGUUCAGCAUCAAGAAAAAGUGUUGCUUUUGGAUUGAUUCAAUUUCUAUGCAUACGAACCGAUGGAAUAGAUUGUAUGAUUUCGGAAUUCUACCAUCAAUUGCAGGAACUUCGUGUUUUUUAGUUGCUGUCCAAGUCCGUGCUGAUGCUAUUGUCGUAGAUUGAUGAUGAGGUUUUAUAUAGAUUUGAGAGAUGGAUUUGCAAUUGGGUGCGAUCGUUGAAGAAACGGGAUCGUAAUGAUUUUGGAGCGCUUGGAAUUUAAUCAUUUUCAGUACAUUUCUACAUUAUAAAUUUUCUAUUUUUUUUUUUUUCUUUUGUCAGCUUGGUUAUUUCCUAAAAGCUUGAAAUUUUGAAGACAAAGCUCGCUCGUCACUUCAUCUUGUGAUACUUAGCUUCCACUCUACUGAUACAAAAACUUUUUAUUGUUUUAUUUAUUUUGUGAAUUAUUUCAGCAAUUAGUGCCACUUAGGUUCCUAGCAGGGGAAUAAAAAAUGAUACUUAAGUUCUGAAUUCUUGAACCUUACCACCCAAUUUUUAAUUAUUAUUAUUUUUUUUCUAGACUUCAUAUUUGAGUUUCUUAUUGUACCCAUAAUGGUCGACUUGGGUUUUGGUGUCAUAUGAGAAAUAAAGGAAGGCUUUGUUGUUGUGGGAGACCUGCUUUUUAGUCUAUUUAAUUUAAUGUGCUUCAAAAUUGUUUCUAUAUCGGCAGAUUUGGGUUUUGGGGGCUGACUUAAGAUAGAUAGAAAAUUUUGUGAUGGAUGGUUCUCAUGGUAGUUCUAAUGCACCGCCUCCUUUCCUCACAAAGACGUAUGAGAUGGUGGAAGAUACAGUCACAAACUCCGUUGUUUCCUGGAGUCAAAGUGGCCAAAGCUUCAUUGUGUGGAAUCCACCCGAAUUUGCUAGAGAUUUGCUACCCAAGUAUUUCAAGCACAAUAAUUUCUCCAGCUUUGUCAGACAACUGAACACAUAUGGUUUUAGAAAGAUUGAUCCUGAUCAGUGGGAGUUUGCAAAUGAGGAAUUCAUAAGAGGACAAAGAAAUCUUCUAAAGAAUAUUCACCGUCGCAAGCCAAUUCAUAGCCAUUCUGUGCCGAAUCAAGGGUUUUCAGUUCCAUUAACUGAUUCUGAAAGAAGGGAGUUUGAGGAGGAGAUUCAGAAGCUAAAACAUGAGAAGAGUUUACUUCAGUUGGAGUUACAAAGGAACAAGCAGGAGAAGCAGGAAUAUGAAGUUGACGUACGGUUACUGGGAGAGCGGUUGGAGUCCAUGGACCUCCGACAGAGGCAAAUGAUGUGCUUCUUGGCUGAAGAAUUGCAGAAACCCAGGUCUGGCCCCAAUUUCAUGCAACAGUCGGAAAUUAAUAAUAAAAAGAGAAGGUUGUUGAUAUCUAGUUGCUUAUAUGAUGAAGCUAAUAUGGGAGAGAACCAGAUUUUGACUUUCAAGAAGGAAAGCCUAGAUUCAUCAUCUGUUCCAGUGCUAAAUUUGGAGCUAAUUGAGAAGUUGGAAUCAUCCUUAAUUUUUUUGGAGAAUUUUCUGCAUUUGGUUGGUCAAACUUUGUCUGAAGAAAUAUUUGAUUUUGGUGUGCUAACACAACCUUCACAAGUCAUCAUUAUGGAAACACAUGCAACAUCUAGAGAUUAUGAUGUGAAUGUCCAGCCGUUCUCACCAAACUUACAUCUGUCAUCACCUGAUUCAAGGGAUCAUUCGUCACCAGAGUUGGCUGGAUCUUCAAGUCAUGUGGGGAGCCCUGCUGGUUCAUCUAUAUGCGUUGAUGUAGAUGUUUGGACCAAGUCUUCAGGGAUUGAUGUAAAUUCAAAGCCUGCUGAUGUUUCUGAAGUUGAUACUCCAAAAGAACGGGUAGAGGGGAUGACGCUUCCAGUUGUGCCGACUGGGGCGAAUGAUGUCUUUUGGGAGCAGUUCCUAACAGAGACUCCUGGUUCCUCUGACACACAGGAAGUUCAGUCAGAAAGAAGAGACACUGAUGGCAGGAAGAUUGAAAGUAAGCCAGCAGAUAACCGUAAAUAUUGGUUAAAUAUGAAUAAUGUAGACAGCCUUACAGAAAAGAUGGGGCAUCUCACUCCAGCUGAAAGAACUUGAUGUUGGUUGAUUACUUCUUUCAACAUUUAUAUCAUAGUGGGUCGCUGUAUAAUAAUCCAACCAAGAGCAGGAAGACACUGAAGGAGUUGUCGUUUUGGUGGAUUGGGGUUGUCUGCAUCAACAAAAGAGGAUAAUCCAGGUCAGGUGGCAUCGAGGAUCCAUUCACUCCCCCCGUGAGCUUGAAGGAUGAAUCCCAUGCCAACAUACUUUUACAGUUGGCUAUCGCUUUACUAGCAGAUGAUCACUGAGACCGGGAGCUGGAAGAUCAAUAUAUACAUGUAUACAAUAUAUAUAUAUAUAUUUGUCAAUAUUUACAAAUAUCCCGUUGCUUGGUAGAUCAGCUCUUGGUACUGUUCUUUGCCCCCACUAAAUCCAGACUUGGAUAUUUUUUAAUAAUAUUUUACAUGUGAUAUUAAAUUCGAUGGCAAGGAAAUGUAUUGCCUGCUUGGUUUGUAAUUAUGAAAACAGUUUUAUGUUUUCAGUUACAAAAAUCUCUGUCUAGUUCAAUUUUCAGAA